CACCCCAUCCCUGUUUCUACCAUUAGGUUAGCCCCAUCCCAUAUCUGUUUUUACCAUUAGGUUAGCCCCAUCCCACCCUAUCCCUGUUUCUACCAUAAGGUUAGCCCCAUCCCAUAUCUGUUUUUACCAUUAGGUUAGCACCAUCCCACCCAAUCCCUGUUUCUACCAUAAGGUUAGCCCCAUCCCAUAUCUGUUUUUAUCAUUUUGUUAGCCCCAUCCCACCCCAUCUCUGUUUCUACCAUUAUGUGAGCCCCAUCCCACCCCAUCCCUGUUUCUACCAUUAGGUUAGCCCCAUCCCAUAUAUGUUUCUACCAUUAGGUUAGCCCCAUCCCAUAUAUGUUUCUACCAUUAGGUUAGCCCCAUCCCAUAUCUGUUUCUACCAUUAGGUUAGCCCCAUCCCACCCAUCCCUGUUUCUACCAUAAGGUUAGCCCCAUCCCAUAUCUGUUUCUACCAUUAGGUUAGCCCCAUCCCAUAUCUGUUGUUACUAUUAGGUUAGCCCCAUCCCACCCCAUCCCUGUUUCUACCAUAAGGUUAGCCCCAUCCCAUAUCUGUUUCUACCAUUAGGUUAGCCCCAUCCCAUAUCUGUUUUUACCAUUAGGUUAGCUCCACCCCAUAUCUGUUUUUACCAUUUGGUUAGCCCCAUCCCACCCCAUCUCUGUUUCUACCAUUAUGUUAGCCCCAUCCCACCCCAUCCCUGUUUCUACCAUUAGGUUAGCCCCAUCCCACCCCAUCCCUGUUUCUACCAUUAGGUUAGCCCCAUCCCACCC
ensembl:lncRNA